rnacentral:rRNA from 1 species
UACGUAGGGUGCGAGCGUUGUCCGGAAUUACUGGGCGUAAAGAGCUCGUAGGUGGUUUGUCGCGUUGUUCGUGAAAUCCCGUGGCUUAACUGCGGGCGUGCGGGCGAUACGGGCAGACUGGAGUACUGCAGGGGAGACUGGAAUUCCUGGUGUAGCGGUGAAAUGCGCAGAUAUCAGGAAGAACACCCGUGGCGAAGGCGGCUCUCUGGGACGGUACUGACGCUGAGACGCGAAAGCGUGGGGGAGCGAACAGG